rnacentral:sRNA from 1 species
GUCGUGAGAUGUUGGGUUAAGUCCCGCAACGAGCGCAACCCUUGUCAUUAGUUGCCAUCAUUUAGUUGGGCACUCUAAUGAGACUGCCGGUGACAAACCGGAGGAAGGUGGGGAUGACGUCAAGUCCUCAUGGCCCUUAUGGGUAGGGCUUCACACGUCAUACAAUGGUCGGUACAGAGGGUUGCCAACCCGCGAGGGGGAGCCAAUCCCAAUAAAGCCGAUCGUAGUCCGGAUCGGAGUCUGCAACUCGACCCCGUGAAGUCGGAAUCGCUAGUAAUCGCGGAUCAGCAUGCCGCGGUGAAUACGUUCCCGGGUCUUGUACACACCGCCCGUCACACCAUGGGAGUGGGUUUCACCAGAAGUAGGUAGUCUAACCGCAAGGAGGGCGCUUACCACGGUGGGAUUCAUGACUGGGGUGAAGUCGUAACAAGGUAGCCGUAUCGGAAGGUGCGGCUGGAUCACCUCCUUUCUAGAGCGCGAGCUCGGCAAGUACCUACAACCUAUCGGUUGUUCCAGGCAGCAGACAAGCGGGUCUGUAGCUCAGUUGGUUAGAGCACCGUCUUGAUAAGGCGGGGGUCGUUGGUUCGAACCCAACCAGACCCACCACGCAUAGCAAGCGGGGCACGGCCGAUAACAACCACCGGGCAUCGAAGCUUGAGGGGGUGUAGCUCAGUUGGGAGAGCGCGUGCUUUGCAAGCAUGAGGUCAUCGGUUCGAUCCCGUUCACCUCCACCAAUUGCGCUGUCUGAGUAGCUGCUGGCAAGAGUCGAUCUCUCAACGUGAUCAAGAAAUUGGCGGGUUGAGAGAUCGGUUUUUUACCGAACGGUUGUUGGUUCUUUAACAAUUUGGAAGAAGUAAAGUGUGUGUGGAUCCGGAAGGGUUUACACAUGGGUUGUGAUUGCAUUGCUUCAUUCCCGCCAACUUGAACCGGCGGUGGGGGUGGAGAAACAAGCGCUUGUUGCUCUCUAGGCUUGUGACUUGGGCGCCUGAAAAGGUGCGCAGGACGCAAAGUUAUAGGGUCAAGUGACUAAGUGCAUGUGGUGGAUGCCUUGGCGAUUACAGGCGACGAAGGACGUUGUAGCCUGCGAAAAGCUGCGGGGAGCUGGCAAACAAGCUUUGAUCCGCAGAUGU